rnacentral:rRNA from 1 species
GGAAGGUGCAAGCGUUAAUCGGGAAUUACUGGGCGUAAAGCGCGCGUAGGCGGUUAGAUAAGUCGGGUGUGAAAGCCCCCGGGGCUCAACCUGGGGAACUGCAUUCGAUACUGUCUGGCUAGAGUGUGAUAGAGGGAGGCGGAAUUCCGCAUGUAGCGGUGAAAUGCGUAGAGAUGCGGAGGAACACCAAUGGCGAAGGCAGCCUCCUGGAUUAACACUGACGCUGAGGUGCGAAAGCGUGGGGAGCAAACAGGGUUAGAUACCCUGGUAGUCCACGCCGUAAACGAUGUCAACUAGCCGUUGGGAGCAAUUUGGCUCUUGGUGGCGCAGCUAACGCGAUAAGUUGACCGCCUGGGGAGUACGGUCGCAAGAUUA